rnacentral:rRNA from 1 species
CCUACGGGAGGCAGCAGUGGGGAAUAUUGGACAAUGGGGGCAACCCUGAUCCAGCCAUGCCGCGUGUGUGAAGAAGGCCCUCGGGUUGUAAAGCACUUUCAGUGAGGAAGAACGCCUGGUGGUUAAUACCCAUCAGGAAAGACAUCACUCACAGAAGAAGCACCGGCUAACUCCGUGCCAGCAGCCGCGGUAAUACGGAGGGUGCGAGCGUUAAUCGGAAUUACUGGGCGUAAAGCGCGCGUAGGUGGCUUGAUAAGCCGGUUGUGAAAGCCCCGGGCUCAACCUGGGAACGGCAUCCGGAACUGUCAAGCUAGAGUGCAGGAGAGGAAGGUAGAAUUCCCGGUGUAGCGGUGAAAUGCGAAGAGAUCGGGAGGAAUACCAGUGGCGAAGGCGGCCUUCUGGACUGACACUGACACUGAGGUGCGAAAGCGUGGGUAGCAAACAGGAUUAGAUACCCUAGUAGUC